GAUGAACGCUGGCGGCGUGCUUAACACAUGCAAGUCGAACGGAAAGGCCCAAGCUUGCUUGGGUCCUCGAGUGGCGAACGGGUGAGUAACACGUGGGUGAUCUGCCCUGCACUUCGGGAUAAGCCUGGGAAACUGGGUCUAAUACCGGAUAGGACCACAUUUUGGAUGGUGUGGUGGAGUUUUUUUCGGUGUGGGGUGGGCUCGGGGCCUAUCGGCUUGUUGGGGGGUUAAUGGCCUACCAAGCCGACGAGGGGUAGCCGGCCUGAGAGGGUGCCCGGCAACAGUGAGACUGAGAUACGGCCCAGACUCCGACGGGAGGGAGAAGUGGGGAAGAUUGAACAAUGGGCGCGAGCCUGAUGCAGCGACGCCGCGGGGGGGAUGACGGCCUUGGGGUUGUAGACUCCUUUCGCUAGGGACGAAGCGUUAUGUGACGGUACCUGGAGAAGAAGCACCGGCUAACUACGUG
rnacentral:rRNA from 1 species